UACCAGCACCCCCGAGUGGUCGGGACGUUUUAUUGGGCCUAAAGCAUCCGUAGCCGGUUCUACAAGUCUUCUGUUAAAUCCAGCUGCUUUAACAGAUGGGCUGCGGAAGAUACUAUGGAGCUAGGAGGCGGGAGAGGCAAGCGGUACUCGAUGGGUAGGGGGUAAAAAUCCGUUGAUCCAUUUGAAGACCACCAGUGGCGAAGGCGGCUUUGCCAGAACGCGCUCGACGGUGAGGGGAUGAAAGCUGGGGGGGAGCAAACCGG
rnacentral:rRNA from 1 species